rnacentral:rRNA from 1 species
UACGUAGGGGGCAAGCGUUUGUCCGGAUUUAUUGGGCGUAAAGAGCGUGUAGGCGGCCAGGUAGGUCUGCUGUGAAAACUCGAGGCUUAACCUCGAGCUGUCGGCGGAAACCAUCUGGCUAGAGUCCGGAAGAGGAGAAUGGAAUUCCCGGUGUAGCGGUGAAAUGCGCAGAUAUCGGGAAGAACACCCGUGGCGAAGGCGGUCUCUGGGACGGUACUGACGCUGAGACGCGAAAGCGUGGGGAGCGAACAGG